rnacentral:rRNA from 1 species
GAGUUUGAUCCUGGCUCAGGACGAACGCUGGCGGCGCGCCUAACACAUGCAAGUCGAACGAGCGAGAGAGAGCUUGCUUUCUCAAGCGAGUGGCGAACGGGUGAGUAACGCGUGAGGAACCUGCCUCAAAGAGGGGGACAACAGUUGGAAACGACUGCUAAUACCGCAUAAGCCCACAGCUCGGCAUCGAGCAGAGGGAAAAGGAGCAAUCCGCUUUGAGAUGGCCUCGCGUCCGAUUAGCUAGUUGGUGAGGUAAUGGCCCACCAAGGCGACGAUCGGUAGCCGGACUGAGAGGUUGAACGGCCACAUUGGGACUGAGACACGGCCCAGACUCCUACGGGAGGCAGCAGUGGGGAAUAUUGCACAAUGGGGGAAACCCUGAUGCAGCGACGCCGCGUGGAGGAAGAAGGUCUUCGGAUUGUAAACUCCUGUUGUUGAGGAAGAUAAUGACGGUACUCAACAAGGAAGUGACGGCUAACUACGUGCCAGCAGCCGCGGUAAAACGUAGGUCACAAGCGUUGUCCGGAAUUACUGGGUGUAAAGGGAGCGCAGGCGGGAAGACAAGUUGGAAGUGAAAUCUAUGGGCUCAACCCAUAAACUGCUUUCAAAACUGUUUUUCUUGAGUAGUGCAGAGGUAGGCGGAAUUCCCGGUGUAGCGGUGGAAUGCGUAGAUAUCGGGAGGAACACCAGUGGCGAAGGCGGCCUACUGGGCACCAACUGACGCUGAGGCUCGAAAGUGUGGGUAGCAAACAGGAUUAGAUACCCUGGUAGUCCACACCGUAAACGAUGAUUACUAGGUGUUGGAGGAUUGACCCCUUCAGUGCCGCAGUUAACACAAUAAGUAAUCCACCUGGGGAGUACGACCGCAAGGUUGAAACUCAAAGGAAUUGACGGGGGCCCGCACAAGCAGUGGAGUAUGUGGUUUAAUUCGACGCAACGCGAAGAACCUUACCAAGUCUUGACAUCCUGCGACGCACAUAGAAAUAUGUGUUUCCUUCGGGACGCAGAGACAGGUGGUGCAUGGUUGUCGUCAGCUCGUGUCGUGAGAUGUUGGGUUAAGUCCCGCAACGAGCGCAACCCUUACUGUCAGUUACUACGCAAGAGGACUCUGGCAGGACUGCCGUUGACAAAACGGAGGAAGGUGGGGAUGACGUCAAAUCAUCAUGCCCUUUAUGACUUGGGCUACACACGUACUACAAUGGCGUUAAACAAAGAGAAGCAAGACCGCGAGGUGGAGCAAAACUCAGAAACAACGUCCCAGUUCGGACUGCAGGCUGCAACUCGCCUGCACGAAGUCGGAAUUGCUAGUAAUCGUGGAUCAGCAUGCCACGGUGAAUACGUUCCCGGGCAUUGUACACGCCGCCCGUC